AAAAAUGUUAACAGAUAGUAAUUGAUAAAUACUAUUUUGAAUAAAUAAAUUUACAUUAAUAUUGAAAAAUUAGUAUAUACAUUUACAAAAAUGUGACAUAAUAUGAAUAUAUUUGUAAGAGUUAUUAUAAAUAUCGUAAAAAGUGAAUAAUGAAGGUUUUUAUAAUUUGUGAAAAUAAAAUAUUACUUUUUUUUAAACACUAAACAAUUUUAAACUUUAGUAUCAAAAUAUAAGCAUAUUUUGUGUAGGAUCUCUCAAUGUGUUUUUUUUAUGCAUACAAUAAAUGAAAGUAACAUUUUAUGAAAAUUCUGUAUAUAAUGUAAAAUCUAAAAAAAAAAGAAUUGAAAUUAAUAUAAUAUUGAAAAAAGUAGAAAAGUUAAAUGAAGCAUUAUUAAAAGCUAUAAAAGAGGAAUCUCUGGAUUUAGAA